UACGAAGGGUGCAAACGUUGCUCGGAAUCACUGGGCGUAAAGGGUGCGUAGGCGGGUCUUUAAGUCAGGGGUGAAAUCCUGGAGCUCAACUCCAGAACUGCCUUUGAUACUGAGGAUCUUGAGUUCGGGAGAGGUGAGUGGAACUGCGAGUGUAGAGGUGAAAUUCGUAGAUAUUCGCAAGAACACCAGUGGCGAAGGCGGCUCACGGGCCCGAUACUGACGCUGAGGCACGAAAGCGUGGGGAGCAAACAGG
rnacentral:rRNA from 1 species